AGCGGAGGAAAAGAAACUAACAAGGAUUCCCCUAGUAACGGCGAGUGAACCGGGAAGAGCUCAAAUUUGAAAUCUGGCGUCCUUCGGGCGUCCGAGUUGUAAUCUAUAGAAACGUUUUCCGUGCCGGACCGUGUCCAAGUCCCUUGGAACAGGGUAUCAGAGAGGGUGACAAUCCCGUACUUGACACGACGACCGGUGCUCUGUGAUACGUUCUCUACGAGUCGAGUUGUUUGGGAAUGCAGCUCAAAAUGGGUGGUAAACUCCAUCUAAAGCUAAAUAUUGGUGGGAGACCGAUAGCGAACAAGUACCGUGAGGGAAAGAUGAAAAGCACUUUGGAAAGAGAGUUAAACAGUAUGUGAAAUUGUUGAAAGGGAAACGAUUGAAGUCAGUCGUGACCGUUGGGUUCAGCCGGUUCUGCCGGUCUACUCCCUUCGGUCGGGUCAACAUCGGUUUUGACCGGCGGAUAAGGAAGGGAGGAAUGUGGCACCCUCCGGGGUGUGUUAUAGCCUCUCGUCGCAUACGUCGGUCGAGACCGAGGAACGCAGCUCGCCUUUAUGGCCGGGGUUCGCCCACGUCCGAGCUUAGGAUGUUGACAUAAUGGCUUUAAACGACCCGUCUUG
rnacentral:rRNA from 1 species